rnacentral:pre_miRNA from 1 species
AUGUUACUCCCUCCGUCCAAAAAAGCUUGUCCCAAGUUUGUUCCUUAAAUGGAUGUAUCUAGCACUAAUUUGGUGCUAGAUACAUCCAUUUGAGAGACAAGCUUUUUCGGACAGAGGGAGUACUAA